UACGGAGGGUGCAAGCGUUGUUCGGAUUUACUGGGCGUAAAGCGCGCGCAGGUGGGUGAACAAGUCGGAAGUGAAAUCUUGAGGCUCAACCUCGAGGCUGCUCCCGAAACUGUUCGCCUAGGGACUGGUAGAGGCUGGUAGAAUUCCCGGUGUAGCGGUGGAAUGCGUAGAGAUCCGGAAGAACACCGGUGGCGAAGGCGGCCUGCUGGGCAGUAGCUGACACUGAGGCGCGACAGCGUGGGGAGCAAACAGGG
rnacentral:rRNA from 1 species